rnacentral:sRNA from 1 species
CAUCCACGAAUAAUUUAGACACUAACAGGUUAUCUAUCCAGAUAGUUCCUUAUGUUUUGUGGGAUUAGACUACAAAGGACGCAUGGUUUGGGAGUGAUGUAUCAAGAAAGAUGUCCAUUAUACAAACCAUGAUCGACAACUAUCAUCAAAUAUUUGGAAAUGAUAAUAUAUUUUAUAAAUGUAUUUACAGAAGAUCUGAGGAUUUAAAGACUUGUGCAGAUUCAAUAAAUUCUUCUGGCAAAUCACCUAUUAUGAAAGAAUUCCUAGCUGGCCACAACAAGAAAACAUGCGAUAAUGGUGAAAAAUUAAAAAUUUCAUCCAUUCCUCUGCAGGAGGAAGGUCCUACAGGACAGAACAGAACAACUACCACAUAUAAGUGGUAGAAGAUGACUGAAGACAUUAUAAGGUCAUUCUAUUUUAAUGUUCCCUUCUACCUUCCACUUAAUCAUAGCAGAACAAUAAUUACAACAUCCUGCUUCAGCAUUCAUAUGCUAUCAUAAUAAAUGUUAUAAUAAAUAAAAGUGUUAUUGCUUACACUCCAAUGUGCCUUGUUCAUGAUUCUCCAUAGUCUUUGGAAAGUGACAUUUUUCUGUCUCUGCCUCUACAGCCCAGUUAUACUACUUGCUUUCCCACCUCAGUUUCUAAAGUGCAGCCAAAACUAAUGACAUUAAAUAAUCCCUCAGAAUUGUGCCCAGAAUUCUGUGCCAUACAAAGUUCUAAAUAAAAUUCCAUUACCAAUCAAACUUAAUCAUCACACAUGAUGAAGUUAGAGAUGGAUCACGGUUGUUAGAUUAUACAAAAUGACCUGAAAAGAUCAGUGCUUAAGCAACUGAGAUACAGGCUUUGUGACAUGAAUUUGGGCCAUCGAAACAUACUUUAGAACACAAACAAAAGUGAGUAUUGUUGCACAAGCAUCCCGAGACCAGAAGUUUCUACCUAGAUGGAGGUGGGACUUGGAGACAGUAGUUAACAGAAGCUUAUUGGCCAGAUAUUCCUGACAUGUUGUUCAGCAAUGAUCAAAAGAGACCUUAUGCCAAAAAAAAAAAAAA